rnacentral:tRNA from 1 species
CGGUGGCUACGAAGGCAACAUGGACCGCCGUAUCGCGGCGGCCGUGCAGUACUCGCUGCAAAGCGUCGAUCUGUACGUCGGCUACCGU